rnacentral:lncRNA from 1 species
AGAAGCACUCUAGCUACAGAUUAGAAUGAUGACAAGAGUAAUACCUUCCUAGUGAAGAUGACUUUUAUUUCAGGACUAUAUUAAGUUUCCCAACUUCUGUCAUGAUAUAGUCCAAAGAGAACCUGGACCACGCAGACAUCAAACAGAACAUGACACUGACCCAUUCUAUCAGUGACGUUGUGCUGAUUGCACAGGACAGAUGAGAGGCUCGUAUACUAGAAGUCUUGUUUCACAUGUCCACAGAUGAAGAAAAAUUGUGCCCCAGCAAGGAUUAUACCCAGAGCCUCAUCCAUUCAUACCUGAUUUAGAUACUUAGAUGAUGAGUAAUAGAAAAGCAUCAUCUUUAUGUAAAUCACUGUACUUGGCUUCGUGAGAAAUAUAAAAAUGAAUUGCUUCAAUCCCUGGACUCAAGGAUCCUGUGUUACCAAGGUGGUUAUCAAACCUGGGUCAAAGUUGAAUCACCUGAGGAUCUUUUAGAACAUACACAGUCAUAUGAUACUUCAAAAUCUGUGAUUCCAUGAAGCCAAGAGUAGCUCUUCAACAGGAAAUGAAUGAGUGCUUCAGCUUCUGAUCCCAUUAGUAAGAAAAUACAGUCUUAUGAGCAAUGAUGGAGCUGCAUCUCUUAGGGGCAUUUGAUUCCCAAGAGACCAAAGAGCAAAGAGAAUGUCAAUUUAAAAAAAUCAAAUGUUUCCAUGACUUAGCUAUUUAACUGCUUUAAAAUGAAUGAAUGCUGCUUCAAGUUCUUUCAAAUACCCCACAUCUUGGCAACAACGAAAGGAAUUAACAUGAAGAAAAUUUACAAUCUUUCAUCACAUCGAACAAUGUCCCACAUUUGAAAAGUUCACAGCACAGAUUUCUGGUUACUGAAAGAAAGGAAAGACCUUCUUUGGAUUUGAAUAAACAGAUGGACUUUCUUCUC